UCUUUUAUUUGGGUCAUUGCAGACAAUUGAAUCUACAAAAGGUGAUGAUUACUGGAGACUCUAAUGAUUGCAUGGGCUUUCAAAACAGCGUGGAGAUUGAAAGCUUCGCGAGAUUUGCUGUCCAAGAACACAACAAGAGACAGAAUGCUCUUCUUGAAUUUGUAAGGGCUCUGAAGGCCAAAGAACAGGUAGUUGCUGGCAAGCUAUACUAUCUUACUCUGGAAGCAAUUGAUGGUGGUCAUAAGAAGAUGUAUGAAGCUAAAGUAUGGGUGAAGCCAUGGAUGAACUUCAAACAAUUGGAGGAAUUCAAACAUGCUGAAAGUGAUCUUUCCCUUACUCCUUCAGACCUUGGAGUGACACAAGAUGGUCAUGGAUCAGGAUGGCGAGCAGU
rnacentral:misc_RNA from 1 species